rnacentral:piRNA from 1 species
UGACAGAGCUGCUUCUAGGUCUGAUGC